AAUCAACGCUGGCGGCGUGCCUAACACAUGCAAGUCGAACGCGAAAGGGGCUUCGGCCCUGAGUAGAGUGGCGAACGGGUGAGUAACGCGUGGGUGACCUACCUUCAAGUGGGGGAUAACGUUCCGAAAGGAGCGCUAAUACCGCAUGAAGUUCCGGAUUUGAACAUCUGGAAACCAAAGCCGGGGAUCGCAAGACCUGGCGCUCGGAGAGGGGCCCGCGUCUGAUUAGCUAGUUGGUGGGGUAAUGGCCCUCCAAGGCGACGAUCAGUAGCCGGCCUGAGAGGGCGGACGGCCACACUGGGACUGAGACACGGCCCAGACUCCUACGGGAGGCAGCAGUGGGGAAUAUUGGACAAUGGGCGCAAGCCUGAUUCAGCCAUACCGCGUGGGUGAAGAAGGCCUUCGGGUUGUAAAGCCCUUUUGUUGGGAAAGAAAUCCUGUCGAUUAAUACUCGGUGGGGAUGACGGUACCCAAAGAAUAAGCACCGGCUAACUUCGUGCCAGCAGCCGCGGUAAGAC
rnacentral:rRNA from 1 species